rnacentral:rRNA from 1 species
UACGUAGGGGGCUAGCGUUGUCCGGAAUCAUUGGGCGUAAAGCGCGCGUAGGCGGCCCGGUAAGUCCGCUCUGAAAGUCCAGGGCUCAACCCUGGAAAGCGGGUGGAUACUGCCGGGCUAGAAUCCGGAAGAGGCGAGUGGAAUUCCUGGUGUAGCGGUGGAAUGCGCAGAUAUCAGGAGGAACACCGGUGGCGAAGGCGGGUCUCUGGGCCGAUACUGACGCUGAGGAGCGAAAGCAUGGGGAGCGAACAGG